GAUGAACGCGGCGGCGUGCCUAAUACAUGCAAGUAGAACGCUGAAGGAGGAGCUUGCUCUUCUGGAAGAGUUGCGAACGGGUGAGUAACGCGUAGGUAACCUGCCUCUUAGCGGGGGAUAACUAUUGGAAACGAUAGCUAAUACCGCAUAAAAGUCGACAUUGCAUGAUGUUGACUUGAAAGGUGCAACUGCAUCACUAAGAGAUGGACCUGCGUUGUAUUAGCUAGUUGGUGAGGUAACGGCUCACCAAGGCGACGAUACAUAGCCGACCUGAGAGGGUGAUCGGCCACACUGGGACUGAGACACGGCCCAGACUCCUACGGGAGGCAGCAGUAGGGAAUCUUCGGCAAUGGGGGCAACCCUGACCGAGCAACGCCGCGUGAGUGAAGAAGGUUUUCGGAUCGUAAAGCUCUGUUGUAAGAGAAGAACGAGUGUGAGAGUGGAAAGUUCACGCUGUGACGGUAUCUUACCAGAAAGGGACGGCUAACUACGUGCCAGCAGCCGCGGUAAUACGUAGGUCCCGAGCGUUAUCCGGAUUUAUUGGGCGUAAAGCGAGCGCAGGCGGUUAGAUAAGUCUGAAGUUAAAGGCUGUGGCUUAACCAUAGUACGCUUUGGAAACUGUUUAACUUGAGUGCAGAAGGGGAGAGUGGAAUUCCAUGUGUAGCGGUGAAAUGCGUAGAUAUAUGGAGGAACACCGGUGGCGAAAGCGGCUCUCUGGUCUGUAACUGACGCUGAGGCUCGAAAGCGUGGGGAGCAAACAGG
rnacentral:rRNA from 1 species